rnacentral:lncRNA from 1 species
CCUGGUAUUUGGAUUUCCAGCGUGUACAGUCGAGCCUGUUUAUAACGAACUCGAUAGUUCCGCAAAAUGUGGUCGUUAUAUCAGUAGUUCGUUAUAUAUGAACUCGCCCUUAAAGACUCUAAAAAAUUAACCAU